AUGGACAGUGAAGCCUGUACAAGUCACGUCGACCUCCUGGAGAGGCUUCUGCUUGAUGAAAGCGCAGAGCCCACAAACCUGCCUUUAUCACUCCUGCAAGGCAUCACAAAUUGUUUCUCUUCUGAUCACGAAAUUGGCAGAGGCGGGUUUGCGGUGGUUUAUAAGGGAGUUGUCGGCAAAGGUAUAGUCGCUGUGAAGAAGCUGACCAACACAUUUGCUGUUCCGGAGAUUAAAUUCCAUGAAGAGGCUAGAAAUCUGAUAAAGGCCAAGCACAAGAAUAUAGUACGGUUUCUGGGGUAUUGUGCUGACACGCAAGGAAAAAUGGAAGAAUACGAGGGGAAUCUUGUCAUGGCAGAUCAACGGAACUGGUUACUCUGUUUUGAGUAUGUAUGCAACGGGAGUCUCGAUAAGCACAUUACCGAUGCAACUUGUGGACUUAAUUGGAGAAAUCGGUAUCAAAUAAUCAGGGGGUUGUCUGAGGGCUUAGUUUUCCUCCGUGAGAAGGGAAUUCUUCACUUGGACCUGAAGCCAGCUAAUAUACUUAGAUGGUCACAUGAUACCCAAAAUUGCUGA
rnacentral:rRNA from 1 species